AACGAACGCUGGCGGCAGGCUUAACACAUGCAAGUCGAGCGCCCCGCAAGGGGAGCGGCAGACGGGUGAGUAACGCGUGGGAAUCUACCCAUCUCUAUGGAAUAACGCAUGGAAACGUGUGCUAAUACCGUAUACGUCCUUCGGGAGAAAGAUUUAUCGGAGAUGGAUGAGCCCGCGUUGGAUUAGCUAGUUGGUGGGGUAAAGGCCUACCAAGGCGACGAUCCAUAGCUGGUCUGAGAGGAUGAUCAGCCACACUGGGACUGAGACACGGCCCAGACUCCUACGGGAGGCAGCAGUGGGGAAUAUUGGACAAUGGGCGCAAGCCUGAUCCAGCCAUGCCACGUGAGUGAUGAAGGCCCUAGGGUUGUAAAGCUCUUUCACCGGUGAAGAUAAUGACGGUAACCGGAGAAGUAGCCCCGGCUAACUUCGUGCCAGCCGCCGCCGUAAAAC
rnacentral:rRNA from 1 species